UCGAACGGCAGCACGGAGCUUGCUCUGGUGGCGAGUGGCGAACGGGUGAGUAAUAUAUCGGAACGUACCCUGGAGUGGGGGAUAACGUAGCGAAAGUUACGCUAAUACCGCAUACGAUCUAAGGAUGAAAGUGGGGGAUCGCAAGACCUCAUGCUCGUGGAGCGGCCGAUAUCUGAUUAGCUAGUUGGUAGGGUAAAAGCCUACCAAGGCAUCGAUCAGUAGCUGGUCUGAGAGGACGACCAGCCACACUGGAACUGAGACACGGUCCAGACUCCUACGGGAGGCAGCAGUGGGGAAUUUUGGACAAUGGGCGAAAGCCUGAUCCAGCAAUGCCGCGUGAGUGAAGAAGGCCUUCGGGUUGUAAAGCUCUUUUGUCAGGGAAGAAACGGUGAGAGCUAAUAUCCCUUGCUAAUGACGGUACCUGAAGAAUAAGCACCGGCUAACUACGUGCCAGCAGCCGCGGUAAUACGUAGG
rnacentral:rRNA from 1 species